rnacentral:tRNA from 1 species
GCCCCCAUCGUCUAGAGGCCUAGGACAGCUCUCUUUCACGGAGCAGGCAGGGAUUCGAAUUCCCUUGGGGGUA